GCGGUAGUGGUGGAAUUGGUAGACACGCCAGCUUGAGGGGCUGGUGGGCGCAAGCUCGUGGAGGUUCAAGUCCUCUCUACCGCA
rnacentral:tRNA from 2 species